CGAGACCUCAGGUCAGGCGGGGCUACCCGCUGAGUUUAAGCAUAUCAAUAAGCGGAGGAAAAGAAACUAACAAGGAUUCCCCUAGUAACGGCGAGCGA
rnacentral:rRNA from 1 species